rnacentral:rRNA from 1 species
GACGAACGCUGGCGGCGUGCCUAAUACAUGCAAGUAGAACGCUGAAGGAGGAGCUUGCUUCUCUGGAUGAGUUGCGAACGGGUGAGUAACGCGUAGGUAACCUGCCUGGUAGCGGGGGAUAACUAUUGGAAACGAUAGCUAAUACCGCAUAAUAUUGACUAUUGCAUGAUAGUCAGUUGAAAGGUGCAACUGCACCACUACCAGAUGGACCUGCGUUGUAUUAGCUAGUUGGUGGGGUAACGGCUCACCAAGGCGACGAUACCUAGCCGCCCGGAGAGGGUGGUCGGCCACACUGGGACGGAGACCAGGCCCAGACUCCUUCGGGAGGCACCGGUAGGGAAUCUUCGGCAAUGGACGGAAGACUGACCGAGCAACGCCGCGUGAGUGAAGAAGGGUGUCGGAUCGGAAAGCUCUGUUGUAAGGGAAGAACGAGUGUGAGAGUGGAAAGCUCACACUGUGACGGUAUCUGACCAGAAAGGGACGGCUAACUACGUG